rnacentral:rRNA from 1 species
UUUGGUCAUUUAGAGGAAGUAAAAGUCGUAACAAGGUUUCCGUAGGUGAACUGCGGAAGGAUCAUUACAGAGUUCAUGCCCUCGCGGGUAGAUCUCCCACCUUGAAUACAUACCUUUGUUGCUUUGGCGGGCCACGUCCGCGUGUCGGUCCGGCUGGCUGCGCCUGCCAGAGGACCCAAACUCGUUUGUUUAGUGAUUCUGAGUACUAUAUAAUAGUUAAAACUUUCAACAACGGAUCUCUUGGUUUGGCAUCGAUGAAGAACGCAGCGAAAUGCGAUAAGUAAUGUGAAUUGCAAAUUCAGUGAAUCAUCGAAUCUUUGAACGCACAUUGCGCCCCUUGGCAUCCGAGGGGCAUGCCUGUCCGAGCGUCAUUAUGACCACUCAAGCCUGGCUGGUGUUGGGGCCCGCGGUUCCGCGGCCCUUAAAAUCAGUGGCGGCGCCACUGGCUCUAAGCGUAGUGAUACUCCUCGCUAUAGAGUCCUGGUGGAUGCUGCCAGCAACCCCCAAUCUCACGGUUGACCUCGGAUCAGGUAGGGAUACCGCUGAACUUAAGCAUAUCAAUAAGCGGAGGA